rnacentral:tRNA from 1 species
GAGGAUGUAGCUCAGUGGUAGAGCUCUAGCUUGUCUUGUGUCAAGCCCUGGGUUCUAUUCCCAGCACCCCA